GCAUUGGUGGUUCAGUGGUAGAAUUCUUUUUUUUUAUGCAGAACACCUGGGUUCAACUCUUGGCUGAUGUA
rnacentral:tRNA from 1 species